CCGGUGCUUAUUCUUACGGUACCGUCAUUAGCCCCCUGUAUUAGAGAGAACCGUUUCGUUCCGUACAAAAGCAGUUUACAACCCGAAGGCCUUCAUCCUGCACGCGGCAUUGCUGGAUCAGGCUUGCGCCCAUUGUCCAAAAUUCCCCACUGCUGCCUCCCGUAGGAGUCUGGACCGUGUCUCAGUUCCAGUGUGGCUGGUCGUCCUCUCAGACCAGAUACAGAUCGUCGGCUUGGUAGGCUUCCACCCCACCAACUAGCUAAUCUGAUAUCGGCCGCUCCAAUCGCGCGAGGUCUUG
rnacentral:rRNA from 1 species